rnacentral:lncRNA from 1 species
AUAUAAGAAUGCCCACUUUAUCUUAAGAUGGCUGAUAAACUAGACAGUGUUAAAAUAAUUAUAUUGAAUACAAUUUAAAAAAUUGUAGCAAAGGCAACACGUAUUAAAACUGAUAAAUGUAAUAAGGUGUUACAUAAAGGUAAGUUGUAGAUCAUUCUAAAGUGGCACACAUUAUGUUGCUGAUUGUAUCUAAACGUAUUGUUAUAUUCGUUGAGAUCGCAAAUUACAAAGGAAGAAUACAAUCUUGGAUAAAAAUUCGAUAUCAUAAUUCAAUUCAAGGUGAUAUAUUCAAUCAACAUUAGCACCAAACUUAGAAAUAUGCUGUAUGAAUAGCUAAAUCAUUUCCUGAGUUCGCAAUAGGGUGCAAAUGGGAUGAAUUUGUUCACUUCCUUGUAUUCCUUGUAUU